CAGCAGCCGCGGGAAUACGUAGGGUGCAAGCGUUAUUCGGAAUUAUUGGGCGUAAAGAGCUCGUAGGCGGUUUGUCGCGUCUGCUGUGAAAACUGGAGGCUCAACCUCCAGCCUGCAGUGGGUACGGGCAGACUAGAGUGCGGUAGGGGAGAUUGGAAUUCCUGGUGUAGCGGUGGAAUGCGCAGAUAUCAGGAGGAACACCGAUGGCGAAGGCAGAUCUCUGGGCCGUAACUGACGCUGAGGAGCGAAAGCAUGGGGAGCGAACAGGAUUAGAUACCCCUGUAGUCCCUGUCUCUUAUAC
rnacentral:rRNA from 1 species